GCCGCGCUGCGCCUCCUCCCGCGGCUCCGCCCCGCCGCCGUCCGGCCCCGCACGUGUCGCCCCGGGAGUCCCCGCCGAGGCCCUGAGCCCUGGCGGGGGCCGCCGGACACAAAGGAGCGCCGAGCAGGGACGCCGCGGAGUGUAAAGAACGAAUCGGACGCCGGAGACCCGGAGCUGCGGGCCGCCAAUCCGCCUGCAGCAAGUUUGCUCAACUCGGAAGGUGUAACCCGAGCCGCCGGCGGGGGAGGGGCGGCCAGGCUGGGGUGCUGCCGGCGGGUCCCCACCCGAACCCCCUCUCGCCUGUACCUACAGCGCUUUACCCUAGCUGCCAGCUCGUCAUUUGUCAGCGUGGGCUACAGCUGUUUUGCAAAAUGGUACUAGUGAAAAAAAUAAUAAUAAAGGCAACAUUCAUGCGGCUGCAGAAAAGGUCCUUUGUUCACACACCAAUUAAUUUGCGGAUGUCGCUUCAUAGAGGUUAUUUACUGUUGCAAGCUAUAUUUGGUGUGCUUUAGCCAAAACUGCGGAAUUGGAAGUGCUGGGAUUUUUUUUUACUGUCAUUUUUUUUUUAAAAAGGAAGUUAUGCCAGUUUACUUGGACAUAUUUUUUCGAGUACACAUCACAGCUACAUUGUUUAAUAAUGGCUCACAGACCAACUGAAAAAUAAGGAUCAUGUUAAUGCACGGAUACUUUAGAUUCUUUCAUGGUGACACGCAGAAGUACAGCUUGUGGAUGGCCUUAAAGGAUCUCAAACUACCUCCGUAUAAAUCAUCAUGAGGGACAACUAAUACUCGGACAGGCCAGACCUAUUUUGAGUGUGUGAGACAGGAGGUGUUUGAAAGGCCUCCAAGAAGGAGAUUCUUAUAGAUCUUCUGACCGAGCAGCCCAUAUGACUGGCCAAGUCAGUACCUGAGACCAAAUUAAGGUUAUGUUCCUGCUUCAUGCCACCAGAGGAAUCCUUCUCAGUCAAGAGAGAAAGAUGACCUCCCCCUUCUCCUUUUCUUUUUAUGUCUUGGCAAUGUCAUUCACAUUCAUGCUCACAUGGUACUGACUUUAGAAGCAUGAAGAUCAGGAGUGAAGGAGUCAUUGGUUCUUCCCCCACUGUUUCAAGGCCAGGCAGCAUACACCAGGGGCAUCCCUGCAUAAAGGUCCUCACAGGCCAAGAGGCCCUGAUAGGUCAAGAGGCCCUGACAGGCCAUUGUGUGAAGUUGUGAAGGUGAAGCCUGAUUGGCAGUGGAGCCCCCAAGAAGAUGUUGAAGAUGCUAGAACCAUGAGACAUCUACCAAGGAAAGCUGCCUACAGAGAGUAGUACCAACCUGAGAGAGAUGCAUGUUGCAUGCAGCAAAAAGGGCAUGGGGGCUAAGCCAUCUAAGCCCUUUGGAAGUAAGGUCCCAGAAGUUGGACAUGGAGCUACUGGAUUUAGUAUUUUCCCUGCUGGUUUUCAGUUUGAUUUGGUCUGAUACUUCCUCACUAUGCCUGCAUUCCUCCUUUUGGAAUGGGAAUGUGUAUUUGGUUCCAUUGUAUGUUGAAAGUAUGUAAUUUGUCUUUUGAUUUUACAGGGGCUUAUAGUUAAGAUAUUGCCUUGGGUCUCAGGAGAGACUUUGGACUCUGGACUUUUGACUAGUAUUGAGACUGGUAAACACUAU